rnacentral:rRNA from 1 species
AUUGAACGCUGGCGGCAGGCCUAACACAUGCAAGUCGAGCGGUUGACGGGAGCUUGCUCCCUGAUUCAGCGGCGGACGGGUGAGUAAUGCCUAGGAAUCUGCCUAUUAGUGGGGGACAACGUUUCGAAAGGAACGCUAAUACCGCAUACGUCCUACGGGAGAAAGCAGGGGACCUUCGGGCCUUGCGCUAAUAGAUGAGCCUAGGUCGGAUUAGCUUGUUGGUGAGGUAAUGGCUCACCAAGGCGACGAUCCGUAACUGGUCUGAGAGGAUGAUCAGUCACACUGGAACUGAGACACGGUCCAGACUCCUACGGGAGGCAGCAGUGGGGAAUAUUGGACAAUGGGCGAAAGCCUGAUCCAGCCAUGCCGCGUGUGUGAAGAAGGUCUUCGGAUUGUAAAGCACUUUAAGUUGGGAGGAAGGGUUGUAGAUUAAUACUCUGCAAUUUUGACGUUACCGACAGAAUAAGCACCGGCUAACUCUGUGCCAGCCGCCGCGGUAA